AUGGAUGUCGCCGCCAUCCUUCCUACUCCAUUGGAGCUCCCCGCCGCCAGAUUGGGUCGCCUCCACCUCGGUCCUCUCCGUCAGCCUCCUCCCGUGCUAAUAAGCUCCUACCCGAGCCGUACUAAUCAGCCACGCCCCCACCGUUUUGCAGGAGCUCCGCCUUCCUGCUUCGCCAGUGCCUGCAUCCCCAUCGCGCCCGAGGACAAGCCCCUCGAGCAGGAGGGCUUCUCCUGCCCGAACCCUCAAGGAGGAUUGUUGCCAUGCGCACCUCCUCCCGUCCCCAGCGCCCGUCACUGCCCUGCACCUCACCCCGCGUCCAAGCCGUGCUAUCGUUGUUGUUGCACCUACGGCCUCCUGUCUUGCUUCUUUUUGGACCAGCAAGAAUGUCGCCAAGAACCGUACGCGGACGCAUCGUCUCCAAGAUUUUCACCAAGUACCUCUACGUGCGGACUCGCCAAGUACACGACUCGGAUGCGCCAAGUUUGA
rnacentral:rRNA from 1 species